rnacentral:lncRNA from 1 species
AGUCCAAAGCAGAAGGUGUGUUAGACACAGCUACACGGAGAACUCUCUCUGAGGACCAGGCCACCCUCAGUGGAGCACUGAGGAAGCACCAGGUGUGACCAGGAAUCAGGUCUCUGCCCUAGUCUAGACGGAAUGAGGAGACAGAGACACAGAGCGAUUGAUGGACUUGCCCAAGGUCACCACAGCAAGUGAAGGGGAAAACAGAGAGGAGAAGCUGAGGCACGGAGGGAAGAAGCGGCUUGAUCCAGGAGCCACAACAAGUCAUUGCUGGAGGCUGGGCUGUGAAGAGACUCAUCGUGUUGAAAUCACACCCUCAGAUGGCUACUAGGAGUCAGCCCUCAAUUUAAAGAAACCCAUCAGGAGUAUAACAGCAAAGUCGGUGCGGUUCAGACUUUGACGUCUCCUUUUUCACCAAGACUUUUUGGCAGAACGUGGGAGGAAAUCGAGCCCACGGGGAGUUGCCCCGGAACUUAGAUUCAAGAGACAUGUUCAAACCAAUUUUCAGUCUAUAAUUUAUAUGAAGAAACUGCCCUUGCCAGGAACAAGGAGGCUCUCGUUGUCCCACCAGGGCUUUGACUUUCUGCGCUGAAUAACCAGGAACCCACUUUCCGGGUGUGCCUGGAUAAGAACAUUGGGUGAUGGAUGGUGUCAAGGAUGUUUCACAACAGCCGCUCAGGUGGCCUGUGAACCAAACCACCCACUUUCUGGCGAUGCUGUUCACGGACCAGCUUGCUAAUGUUUCUCAGAUCCAGUGACCCUCCGCCUGGAUGUUGCAGAUUUUUUAAGAAAAGCCAGUGGGUUCCCAGGCAAGGUUAAAAAGGUACCUUCUUUAAUUUUGCAUAUUGUUAGCUACAAUCCAUUUGCUAAUGUUUGUUUUAUUUCCAUCUGUCAAAAGCAAUGCCAGAAUACGUUGUGUUUGCCUUGAGUUGGCUCAAUUAAUCCUCCUCUGGAAACAGUUCUGUCAUUUCAUGUUUGGUUAAGGCCCUGAUUCAGUAGCUACCAAAUGGGGGUCAUCUCUGCCAGCGGCAGCCAGUUCACACUUAAUACAACUUUCUGGGAAAUAUCUGUUUGACAAAAGGGAAAGGUGGGGUAGCACCCUUAUAGGAAUGUCAAUUUGAAGCCAACCCCAUCGCUCCCUUGGGUACACAUAUGUGUGUCCUGGCUUGAUCCUGUAAACCAGUUCCUGUGGAGCUAAAUGAACCCAGCUAAUGGAUCACACUGAGAGAGUGGCUUUGUGAGGUCUCAGCAUGGGGCACACCGCCCCGCCACCCCCCACUCGGCCCCCAAAGUGCAGCCUCCAUGUAAGUCUGAUGAUGGUAUAUUAGUCUGCUAGGGCUACCAUAACAAAAUACUGCAGACUGGGUGGCUUAAACAACAGACAUUUAUUUUCUCAAGGUUCUGGAGGCCGGAAGUGCAAGAUCAUGGUGUCAGCAGGGUCAGUUUCUCCUGAGACCUCUCUCCUUGGCUUGUAGAUGUGGCCUGUGUCUUCACAUGGGCUUCCCUCUGUGUUAGUGACUUGUCCGUGUCAAAAUUUCCUCUUUUUACAAGGACACCCGUCAUACUGGAAUGGGCCCACCAUAAUGACCUCAUUUUAAUUUAAUGACCUCUUUAAAGACCCUGUGUCCGAAUAUAGUCACAUCCUGAGAUACUUGAGGUUAGAACCGCAAUAUAUGAAUUUCGGAGGGACGCAGUUCAGCCCACAAUAGAUGGUAACCAGAAAAAAACAAUAUGAUGAGGUAAGAAGGGAAAGAUCUUAGGCCAAAAACUAUAAAAGCAGUCACUCUGUAGCGCUCUUUCUCUCCCCUCUCACGCUUCUUGCUUCAUCUUAAUCUCUGAAUAAAAGCUCUAGCCAUCAUCCCUGUGCAGUCAGCAUACUUUAGAGGAGGUAGACUUUUGAGUCAGCACGUUCUGAGUUCAAAUCCUGUCUGGACCUCUUAUUAGCUGUAUGACCAAGGGCAAGUUGUUUAAAUUCAGACUCUCAGCUUCCUCUCCUUGAAAUGGGGUUAGUAACCAAUCCAGCUGAUUUUGUUUCGUAAGAAUAAUAAGGUACUGGAUUUGAAAGCUGGUGGCACGCCAAGGUUGGGUAAAUGGGAGUGGUCUGCCCUGAGUGCAGGUAGUAGGGGUGUGUGUUGUGGAUAGAAAAUUUUAAAGUAAUAACAUAAUUGCCCUUUUCAACAGUGUCUGUAAUAAAAUACUCUUCCCCCUCAGGGAAGAUGCCGCCCCCUGCUGACCCACCGUCCCUUGUCUGGAGUAGGGGAGAACUAUCUGUGUGUACUGCGUAUUAAAUGCGUGUGUCUACCCUCACCCUUCCCCCCCACACACUUGCGUCUUGAAUUUAGUCAUUCUCAGGGCAGCUUAACCAAAGGUAUUUCACAUGACUGCACAUCUUAUUUUUUAUUCAUUUUACUCAGAAAUUGCCAAACCUCAGAGCUAAAUUAUGUAUGAUGGAGGAGAGUCAUCAUUUCUUGUUGUUUUGAAAAGAGGAGGCCUAACAGUCUCUGGUUAGAGCCUCCCUCUCGGUCCCCAAAUAUCUUCAAUUCUUCCGUCCAGCUUCCAGGACUGGGUCCUCUCAGAAAACAUCUUGACGUGAGUCAGGAAUUAAAAUACACAAUAACUAACCACAGGAGAAGUGUGUGUGGCUGGGGCCGUCCCUUUUAUGACUUAAGACCCCUUUCUGAAGUGGUACCCGAUCCCCUGGCAUCUUUAUAUGAGGUAGCUGCUUAUGUAAUCGCUCUGCUCUAUAAGUAGCUAUUUUAUGUAAACAGAAGAAUAGAGAGUUGGUUGGUUGUGC